rnacentral:rRNA from 1 species
GAGGUCCAGCCUGCCCAGUGACUUCAACGGCCGCGGUAUUCUAACCGUGCAAAGGUAGCGUAAUCACUUGUUUUCUAAAUAAAGACCAGUAUGAAAGGCACCACGAGGAUCAAACUGUCUCCUUUUUCCAAUCAGUGAACCUAACCUCCCCGUGAAGAGGCGAGGAUAAGACUAUAAGACGAGAAGACCCUGUGGAGCUUAAAACAAUUAUAUGUUUUUGGUUGGGGUGACCACGGAGAAAAACUCAUCCUCCAUAAUGAAAAAUAAACUACAACUUUAAGCAUCAAAAAAUUGACACCAUCGACCCAAUAAAUUGAUCAAUGAACCAAGUUACCCCAGGGAUAACAGCACAAUCCACUUUAAAAGCUCCUAUCGACAAGUGGGCUUAUGACCUCGAUGUUGGAUCGGGAUAUCCCAGUGGUGCAACCGCUACAAAGGUU